rnacentral:misc_RNA from 1 species
GAUGAAGAACGUAGCGAAAUGCGAUAAGUAAUGUGAAUUGCAGAAUUCAGUGAAUCAUCGAAUCUUUGAACGCACAUUGCGCCCGCCAGUAUUCUGGCGGGCAUGCCUGUUCGAGCGUCAUUACAACCCUCAGGCCCCCGGGCCUGGCGUUGGGGAUCGGCGGAAGCCCCCUGUGGGCACACGCCGUCCCUCAAAUACAGUGGCGGUCCCGCCGCAGCUUCCAUUGCGUAGUAGCUAACACCUCGCAACUGGAGAGCGGCGCGGCCAUGCCGUAAAACACCCAACUCUUCUGAAGUUGACCUCGAAUCAGGUAGGAAUACCCGCUGAACUUAAGCAUAUCAAUAAGCGGAGGA